rnacentral:lncRNA from 1 species
UAUUUUCUUAAGUUGGAGAUUGGAAAAUUCUGGAUCUGGAUGAAAUUCUUCUAUUGGAUGGACAUGGAUGAAUCUGGAGAACAUCAUCCUCAGCAAACUGACACAAGAACAGAAGAUGAAACACCGCAUAUUCUCACUCAUAGGGACAUGGAUGAAUCUGGAGAACAUCAUUCUCAGCAAACUGACACAAGAACAGAAAAUGAAACACCGCAUAUUCUCACUCAUAGGCGGGUGAUGAAAAAUGAGAACACAUGGACACAGGGAGGGGAGUACUAAACACUGGGGUCUAUUGGGGGGAAAAGGGGAGGGCCAGCAGGAGGGGGAGGUGGGGAGGGAUAGCCUGGGGAGAAAUGCCAAAUGUGGGUGAAGGGGAGAAAGGAAGCAAAACACACUGCCAUGUGUGUACCUAUGCAACUGUCUUGCAUGUUCUGCACCUGUACC